rnacentral:rRNA from 1 species
UACGUAGGGUGCGAGCGUUAAUCGGAAUACUGGGCGUAAAGCGUGCGCAGGCGGUGAUGUAAGACCGAUGUGAAAUCCCCGGGCUUAACCUGGGAACUGCAUUGGUGACUGCAUAGCUAGAGUACGGUAGAGGGGGAUGGAAUUCCGCGUGUAGCAGUGAAAUGCGUAGAUAUGCGGAGGAACACCGAUGGCGAAGGCAAUCCCCUGGACCUGUACUGACGCUCAUGCACGAAAGCGUGGGGAGCAAACAGG